rnacentral:ribozyme from 13 species
GAAGAAACAAAAGCCAAAAAACCAUCAGCUCUCAAACCAUAAACAACAGCCUCAAAAGCCAUCUCUCUCCCUCUCUCUCUCUCCUUCAGUUCUCUUUCCUUCAAUCUCUCCUAUUUUCUUCCCUCCUGUCUCUUUUACUCUAUCUAAAGGAAGAGGAGUGACAUAGGAACCUGCAUUUCCUGAAAAAACAUCUCUCUCUUUUUUCUCUUUUU